rnacentral:rRNA from 1 species
GCUGUCAGCGGGGACGAAGGGGUGCGGGAGGCAAUGCCUGCACCCGUGACGGUACCCGCAGAGGAAGCACCGGCUAACUCCGUGCCAGCAGCCGCGGUAAUAUGGAGGGUGCGAGCGUUGUUCGGAAUCAUUGGGCGUAAAGCGCGCGCAGGCGGUGGUUUAAGUCUACCUGUGAAAGGCCGGGGCUCAACCCCGCGCAUGCAGGAGAUACUGGAUCACUGGAGAGGGGCAGAGGCCGGCGGAAUUCCGGGUGUAGCGGUGGAAUGCGUAGAGAUCCGGAAGAACACCAGAGGCGAAGGCGGCCGGCUGGGCCUCAUCUGACGCUGAGGCGCGAAAGCGUGGGGAGCGAACAGGAUUAGAUACCCUGGUAGUCCACGCCGUAAACGAUGGGCACUGGGUGGCGGGGGGAUCGACCCCUUCGCUGCCAAAGCUAACGCGUUAAGUGCCCCGCCUGGGGAGUACGGCCGCAAGGCUGAAACUCAAAAGAAUUGACGGGGACCCGCACAAGCGGUGGAGCAUGUGGUUUAAUUCGAAGCAACGCGAAGAACCUUACCAGGUCUUGACAUCCUUUCGACCUCCUUAGAGAUAGGGGUUUCCCUUCGGGGACGAAAGUGACAGGU